rnacentral:pre_miRNA from 1 species
UGUGUCGUCCCAGGAUGGCUGUGUUAGUAAACAGUGGUGUGCACGGGCACAAAGUAAGUGCACACCACUGUUUACUAACACAGCCAUCCUGGGACGACACAUCGAUAA